GUUCGAGCUUCCCGGCUGCUUUGUUUACCUAAUCAAGCCUGGGCAAUGGCGGGCGCCCCUGCCCCAGCCUCGCUGCCGCCUUGCAGUUUGAUCUCAGACUGCUGUGCUAGCAAUCAGCGAGACUCCAUGGGCGUAGGACCCUCUGAGCCAGAGGCUGAGUAGUCUCAAGAUCUGAAGACAGCAGAAACCUGGGAAAGUUAAUGAUAUACGUUGUUAUACUCCAAGUGUGAGUCUGAAGACAAGGGAAGACCAACGUCCAAGCUUGAAGACAGUCAGAUAGAAUCAUUCUGCAGCCUGGCUAAGGAUGAAGAUAACUGAUAAACUAUUAUAUACCACUAUACCAAAAAGGAUUGAAAUUAUCCUGAAAAAGGAUUGCUGCUAUUGUUGCCUUCUCUGCAUCGUGCUGUGUCCCCAAGAAGAAAACAGAAAAGAUGUUGACAUGGAAAUUUUACCAAGCCUCCACCCCCAGAGUUAGGGUUGUUCGAAAGAGUAUCUCUUGUCUAGAGCUAUGGCUAUGUCACAAGCAAAAGAGCUGAAGGUUGAAAGGUAAAUAAGCACAAAGGAAUCAUCAGUACAAAGAGAGACUGUGACAAGACUAGACAAUUCUAUUCAAAAUUUUGAGAACUGGAGUAUAACAAAUGAGAAUGAAGAAACCAAUGAUGGAAACAUCAAGAUGAGGCCCAAUGGACCAUUAGGAGGUGGGUCUAUAAAAACUCUGAAGACAACACCAUGCUACUUGUUGCUGGCUUCUGUAUGUUAUUUCUGACACAAUGCUUAGGCAGUCUUGCUCCACUAAGAAAAAGCUGGUAGAACACAUAUAGACACUAAUAAUACGUUAAUUAUAUUAAAAAUAGGGGGCUUAUUUUAAAAUACAACUUAACUAAUAGAGUGAAAACAAUACACUGGUUGUCGUUAAACUUCCCCUUUUCUUCAUUCAUCAAAAGUGUAUCUACUGAAUACCUAACAUAAAGAAAUCAUUUAUACUGGGGUAAAUUACACAUCAAUCUAAACUUCCAGAAAAUUUUAUUCAUUAUAUAAAGUUAAAUAAGGUUGUAAAUAUCUAGAGUCCAAGGUGAAUGUGGUAUAUAUCAUAAGCGAUGUACAAAAAACAUACUGUCCGGGCACUGUGACUCAGGCCUGUAAUCCCAGUACUUUGGGAGGUCAAGGUGGGAGGAUUGCUUGAGCCCAGGAGUUUGAAACCAGCCUGGCCAACAGGGCGAAAUCCCAUCUCUACAAAAAAUACAAACAUUUGUCGGGUAUGGUGGUGCAGGACUGUAGUCCUACCUAUUCUGGAGGCUGAGGCGGGAAGAUCACUUGAUCCUAGGAGGCAGAGGUUGCAGUGAGCCGAGAUCGUGCCAUUGCACUCUAGCCUGGGAGACAGAGUUAAACUCUGUCACAACAAAACAAAACAAAAAAUACAUGCUGGGAAAGUUCAAAGAAUGGGGUCAUUUCCAGGGAAAUUUCCACAGAUGAUGUCAUAGACAACCUUGACUUUGAGGAAGAGCUAGGAUAUACAAAGUCCCAGAUAUUGGUGAGAAGAAAUCACUAAUGCUAUGGUCAUACAUUUUUAUGUUUUUUGUUUUGCAAUGAUAGCAAUGCUGGUGGUGGUAAGUAAUGAUUGCAUAUCCCAAUUUGGAGAGAACAUGAUACAAUAUGCCUUCUUGCAUGUAAUUCUGUGAAGAACGAUCAUUGCAUGUAUUGCCCAUGAAAUUGUAAUUAUAAUUAUAGCUUACAUAAUUAGAAUAUAAUAAAAUAUAACUACUUUUUCUGUUGACUUGAGUGGCACAAAUACCACCUUCUUUCCCACUAAAUGUAACAAAGAUUCCCUUUGUCUAACCGUAUGCUGUGAUCCUCCACCAGAUUUGCCAUGAUAGUGGCUGAAGAAGGAUUUAAUCCCGUCUUGGGACAAUUUGUACUAUUUAGGGAAAGAACUCUGUAACUGAGGGUUAGGUAAAGGGCCUGCUGGCCAGCAACUCCCUUGCAACUCAUCCUGUAAUCAUAGAAUGAAUGACAUGCUCAUUUAUUUCUUUUGAAAUACUUAUUAGUCACAGCAGUAGGAUUUUCCCAGGAGCAAAUAGCUGACCAAUUCUUGCUGCUGUGUAAUAGAACUCCUUGGCCUCAGGGAUCACUCUAACUGGGGAUUCCGCUUGCACAGGUACGUGACACAGCCAAGGAUGAAAGCAAAGGUGAACUCUGCCUUUGCCUGCCCGGGUCUCUGUGGGUGAGCUCUCAAUAAAGGAGGAAAAGUGUUUGAAGCAGUGGCAGUUACUGGCUGACAUAGUGACCAGCUGAAGUCCUUAGAGGGAAGAAGGUAUUGGGAGAGGUGUUUAAACUCUGCCUGACUUGUUUAGUAACUCAGGCGGUCAGUUUCUCUGCUUGCAAAAUGAUGGGCAUGUAAGAUCCUUGGGGAAUCCUGUCUUUCUGUUUUUUUGUUUUUAUUAGUAUAAAAAUGAUAGAUGAAACUUUUUAAUCUUUAGACAUUCUAACAUGUCACAUUUAUUAUCAAUUAGUGAAUGUCAUUUUAUAUAUUUUAAAAAAAAACUUUUCCACAUGCAAUGAAUGAUGAGGCAUUCUGAAGACAAAUGCCUUACAUUGUACCUUUUCCUCAUUUAUUUAAUGGCACAACAUCCGUUUUCCCCAGCUCGGCAGCUUUCUUUUACCUGACCUGUAACAUGAAGACUGUAAGUUUCAUGAAGGUAGAAAUCUUGUCUGGCUCAUCUUUGCCUCGCUAAAGUCUAAUGUAAUGCCUGGCUUGAAAAUCAGUGUUUAAUAAAUAUUAGGUAGGAAUUACAAUUAUUCAACCACAUGCUCAUUUGUGCUCAUUUAUUUUGAUAUUUCAAAAUGAUUAAUAAUUUUCUCAAAUUAAAUGAAGUGCUAGCAGCACAAGCAAUAUAACUAUAAUCCUCUUUUCAACCUAAUUUCUCUAUAUUAUGAGUAGUGAAUCAAGUGGAAAAUUUCAGAAUCAUUUCUUAAUCAUUGGUAUCUGAAAAUUUCAGCUCACUUAUUCAACAUUUAUUGAAUUGCUACAGCAAUACAACAUGGAUAACACCAAAAUGUGUAAGUCACGGUCCUUCGACUGAUGCAAAGUAGUUCCUGGUAGAGAAUAAGGACUUAGUAAUGAAAAGCUUCUUUUUAUUGAGCAAUUAUUCCAGUCACUCAUCUAAACAAUUUAUAUGUAUUAUCGCAUUUAAUCAUUAGAAAAAAACCAAUUAGGUGGGUGCUAUUAGGUUGGCGCAAAAUAAUUGCGGUUUUUACCAUUGAAAGUAAUGGCUAUUAGGUAAGGAUUAUAAUAUUAUUAUCCCUAUGAGCAAACCGAAUGACAAUGAAGUUAUGUAAAGCAAUUGCCCUGUGUUAUUCAGCCAAUUUGGAAUUCAGAUAGAAUCCAAAACCUGAAGUCUGAGUAACUGCUGUAGUGAUUGUUCUCGAUAUUGUAUACUGAUGGAGAUUUUUUUUUAAAUCUACUGGUUCUAUAUAUAAAAACAACAACAGUAAGCUAAGGAUAUCUUCACUGGGUUUUCUUUUGGUGUCAAGGAAUGUUCACAGAACUCUCAGAAACAAAUUCGAAAGGAUUCGUGACAAAUGUGAGUCUGUUUUGGAAAAAACAUUGCUAGGCAUUUAUUGUAAUUAUUCUACGAAACAUAAAUAGAAGUGGUAGAGAAGAUUGCAGGCUUUCAGCUUUUUGAAACAAAUCAAUCUGUGUCUUCUUUCCCAGGUUUUUGCUUUCAUAUUAGCAUACUGGCACCUAUCGCUUUCCCCUGCACUUUAUUCCAUUUUCAUUUUGUAAUGUUUUCAGGCAUGUUGGAAAUAUUUCUAUUUCCACAUCCUCUUCCUUCAAUGAGUCGAUAGGUUUUUAGUGGUAAUUCGAGUAAAUAAAAGCUUUGCCCUCUAAAUUGUGAAUUCAGAUGAGAUAGAGUAGCAUUUUAGAGAAUUUAAUGAGUGAAAUUAACUAAGUAAAAGCAAUGAAAGGGCUUGGUUAUGACACCUGAUUAAUAGGCUUGUAAUCAGUAACUAAAAGGCCAGUGUUGGUGUACAGAAGCUGAGGAUGGGGAACAGGUUUUCCCAUGUGGAAUUUACAAAAUAAAAUCAUUGAUAAGUUCAGUCAAUAUCUGGUAACUACCUUUGCUCAAUGAACAUAGGCAUAUUUAGGGAGUAAACAUCGUUGUCACAAAUUAGGCAUGAAAAAGAACUGGCUAAUGUACUGAAGAGUUCAGUUUUUGAUAAAAUGGGAUGAGUCAGUGAAUCAUUCUAGGUAAAAUAUUUUAAAAGUUAAAGAAAAUAUACAGAAGAAAUGAAGAGAGGUCAUUGAUGGAUAUAGUACAAUGAGAUUUAUUUGGGUACAAAUUAUACUCAAUGUCAUGUAAGUGGCUAAGAUCACUGUGAGAAUGCAGAAAGGACGGGAAGAGAGAGAAGAAAAGACAGAGACAAUGAUGGUGAUGCCUAGGCUUGGGUGUUUAGACAAAGUCCUCAGUUGGCGUCAGAUGAAAGAAGACCAAAAGGUAAGAGUGAUAAUCUAAACAAAUUAUAUGAAUAAUUAAAACUGUCCUGAUUGUUACCAAAUACCACAACUGGGGUUUCUUAUUUGUUGGUUUUUUAAAUAAUGACUUUUACAGUUGACAUUUCUCUCCAUUCGUACAGUGAAAUCUCUGUUAACUCUGGCCAUAUUACUGAGCAAGAAGGCUUUUUCUUAUAGAGGACUGAUAAGAAGUGAGUUAUGAUGGCCUUUGUUCUAUUAAACUCUGAUUGUGUGCUUUACCCAACCAACAUUGCCUAAGUACCUGCUAUGUAUGAGGCACGGGGAGAGAUUUUGAUAGUAUUUUUUUUUCUUCCAGGGAAAUGUCACAUAAUUAGCAAAGGUUUGGAAGAGCUCUGAACCCAUCCUUUUUUUUUUGCUUUUGUGCAUAGAUAUUUUUACUUUCGUCCACACAUAUUUCUGUCCUAGCCCUUUUUCUCUAGAGAACAGAAAAUUGAAGCAAGAGUUAGUGCUAAUUGUUUAUGUGGAAGGUGCAAUCCCAAGGCAGUGAGAUUAAAGGAAAAGGGGAGCAGGAGUAGACAGAGAAGGAUGUGAAAAAAUGCAUAGUCAUGUGUUAUAGCACUGCCCUCUACUUUACACAAACCACAAAAAUAAGCCCAUCAAUCGGCACGUGCAUCUGUUUGGUUAUGCAUGACUCUUUAGAUGGGCUCUAUGGAUUAAACAUUCUACAGAUAACUCUAUGGAAGAAUAGAAAGGGAGGAAACUUAUUCUCUCACGGUUCUGGUUUUCCACUUAACAAACCUUGCCUAUCAAGGAAGUAAUUAACUGCCCUGAAUCUCAGAGUUGUAUUUUCUGGUCCUUUUGGUAGUUGUUCUGUAAACUAGAUAUUAUGUGCCACAUGUUUUAUCUAACCAGGGAGUGAUGGGAUCGGGGAAGCCUGCCUCUUACAGUUUGUGACUGGUUUGGCCUUCAAUCCAAAGGGAAAAGUGAGUUCAGCCCUCCUGGAGAGCACCAGACACUGAGUCAGUAGGCUAUGGCAGCAGGGUUGUGGAUGGCCCUUCUGGGAGAAAAUACCAUGAGAUGGCUGAAGAUUAACAAGCAGCUAUGGUGCUGUAAGGUAAUAGCAUCAAGAAGAUCCAAUAGGAUGCAUUAACCUAUGCCUAAUAUGAUAUUGAAACAUUACUGGAUUCUUCUUACAGUUUCUAUGUUACCAUCUCUUAGAAUAACAAGUUACAAAUAUUGCUAUUUAUAACAUUUUUAUAUUCCUUUUGUUAUUUUCUCCUCAUUUUCAAUGUCCAUAUCUUUAUUUCCUUACUAACUUUAUUUACCUCGGGAUUAUUUUCACAUGCACACUCUGCCUAAACAGAUAGACACUUGCCUGCGUGGUGCAGGGGUAUCAUCCAUCAGCUCUUCUAGUUAUUCAGGCAAUGCGUCUCUGCACACACCAACUUCAUGGGACUCAUUCUCAGCAAAGCUGCUUAAAAAAGUGGAGAAUGGGAUGCAUUUCACCUCUACUUACUUCUCAUAUCUUUUCCCAGUUUUAUAAUGCUGCUUUUGAGAGCAGAAACAUUGAUGCCACAAACAAAACCUCUUUACCUUAAGGCUCUGUGGUGAAUUCUUUCCAAUAUCAAGAAGAAUUUAUCACUCCUAUUUCUGAAUUCUGUAGGGCAAUGACUCCUCCAGGGUGACCUUACAGCUUUGCACAUGUCCACAUAGGCCCUACAGACAAACACUUGGACUUGAACACAAGCUAAUGUGAGUGUUGCCAGAAUGCCUUUCAAUCCUCCUGGAACACGAGAGGAUGAGGGGCCUGUGAAGGGCUGCUAUGAGGCCAGCUCCCACUCCCUUCUCCAUCUCCCCUGGGGGGCUGCUGGGAGUGAGUUUCACAGCACCUUCAAGUUCUGAUGGGGUGUGGGGCUUUCUUCCUGUCCCCUCACCAUAGUAUUGCAAAUUGUAAAACAAUUUAGAGCAGUCAAAACCUGGUUCCUCAGGAACAGGAUAUCCCACAACUCAUGUUGCAGCCAAUCUUGCCCCUUUUUGUUUUGAUAUUGUUCUUUUUGAUGUGUGGAAAAUGGACCAUUGGAAACUGGCCACUUUUGCUAUCCUUCCCUUCAUUGUCGAGGGAAGUAAUAAGCUGAAUCUAAAAGUGACACAUUAUAUUUUUAGCUGUUUAAUCAGUCAGUCUUAAUUUUUGGCCUUUUCUUGUGUGGGCUUGACAACUUCUCUCAUUAUUUUGCAUAUAAAUUCUACUUUACAUAAUUCAUUCUCUUCUGUUUAAUAUGUGUGGUUAGUAGUUAAAAUGUUUAUUUUCCCACUGGAUUUAAACUAUUUAAGCGUAGUGAUUGUAUAUGUUUCGCAUUUUUCUCCAGAAGACUGAGUACAAUUCAUGGAAUAUAGAAGAAACAUGUCCUGAGUAAAUAUAUGAAUGAAUGAUCCAUUUAUGUAUGGAUCAAGAGAAAUACAGAGUACAAUAUGGAAUGUGUUAAUUCUAUAAGCAAUACUUUCUUACCUACCAACAAUAAAUUAGAAAAUUGUGGAGUUUUGAAUCCCUUUUCAUUAUGAUAUGGAGGAAUAGUGAGAGAGUAAAAGUGUUGAUGAAUUUGAAAUAUAUAAGGAAAUCCUCAAAGGCUUGGCAUUUAUUCUUUUUUUAAUUAUUGGUUAGGGGGAAUGAUUAAGGCUGCCUUUCAUAUUCAAAAGCUAAACUAUCAACUCUGAAGGUACUUUUAUUUGAUUUUUUAAAUAAUAAAGGUGGAAUUAAGAUAGAUUGUUUUUUCAACAAAUAUUUAUUAUGUACUCACCAUGUGUCAGGCAAUAUUAUAGAUGCUAUUCACAGAGCCACAAAUAAAACAGGCAAAAUUCCCAUUCACAUAGAACUUAAAUUCAUAUUUUCUCACGCAUUCCUCUGUGGAUUAAUUACAGCUUCCUUCUCAAACUUUAGUGUUUGUAAGACUCAUGUAGGGUUCUUGUUAAAAUUCACAGUCUGAUUCAGUUGGCCUAGGGUGGGCCCUGAGGUUUGGCAUUUCCAACAAGCUUCCUGGUGAUGCUGACAUGAUGAUGGCACUGGUCUGCCAAUCACAUUUUAGUCUAUAGGUAUUAGAGGACUUAUGGAUCUGUGAUCUUGAAUCUAAUGGGUUUCAGUAUCAGGAUCUGUCUUCCUUGUAACUCCACUGGACAUUUUCCUAAUCCCCUCCUCACAAGCCCUUUCCUACCACCUUAUAGUUCUUUUCUUGUUUAUAGCCAUUUACUUUAAUCCUUCUUUGCAUUUGGUCAUGCUGUCUUUUAGCUGUGAAUCUUCAUUCCCUUUCUUCUGUUUCUAGAUUUUUUUUUUUUUUUUGCCUGAUUUGCACUGAGAGGAACUUUAGCUUUUGUUUAGUUUUACUGCUUUGAAUUUCCAAGUGAGGACCCUGAUUUUUCCUGGGAAAUUUUCUCACUCCCAAUCUUAUACUCAGUUGCUAGCAAUUGCCAGAAGAGGGGAUUGUACAUGUUUAAUGUACAAUUAAAGUAAAUAUAAGUUUUUUUUUUGAAAAACCAUUUAUUCUCUUUUUAAAAUCUGAUCCACCUGAUGUCAUCAAAGGUAAUGUGAUUAUUUCUGGCCAAAUUUAGUCACUUCCAGCAUUUCCUAGUCAUUUCCAUUGUAAACUCAAUUCAUAAUUUCUAUUCUUUUUUCUUCCAUUUAGGACUGUAUCGGAAGGGGUAUAUAUGUCAAUGAGGAAGCAGUGUGAAGUUAUUCAUUAUUGGUCUUCAGCCAUGCUGGAAUUGGCUGUUCCGUCUUCAUAUCCACUGAUCUCCAAACAUCAGCACCAAACUUCCUUGGCCUUUGCUGAAACACACUGCCCAGCUUAGUGCUAAAACAGUCAUUUUCCUUUCUAAGGUCACCUGCAAAAUUAAAUUGGGUUAUUUUCUGAUUUCACACUAGGCAAUCUAUGUGCAGCACCUUCUUUUAAAGAAUCCUUUGUCUCAUUUUGAAAGAACUUUCACAACUUUCUUGGAGCAUGCAGAGAGGAUCUGACCCAUUUUUCUAGAAAAUGUACAGAGCCAUUUUAAAUCUACUGGCCCAGCAAUGUACAGAAAAUGACACUUCUCCCCAAGGCUUAGUCUCACUUCAGGACUAUAAUAUUGAAAUCAAAGCAGACGUUCCCUCCAUCUUUUGAUUUUCUGGGAUUCUCUUCUUCUCAUUCUAGGCUUCUUUUCCUCAGGAGGACAAGGUGCCAAACUUCUUUAGCAUCCUGUAAAAUCUGUACAUUUCUGAGGGUGUUCUCCCACCUGCCCAACCAUGUUUUCUUCUCCACAUCAGUUGACAUUUAUCUAAGAGGGAGUAAAGAAGCCCAUCUUUUUUAUUUUUAUUUAUUUAUUUAUUUUUGUAGCCCAUCCUUUUCUCUUGCAAUCUUUAGGACAAGGAAUUAGUUAUUAACUUUUCAAAAAAAAUUUUUAUUUUAAUAUCGUCACUGUGUCUCUGACUUUGAUGCCAUUAAAUGUUUAUUUUAAAAUAA